rnacentral:rRNA from 1 species
GAUCAUGGCUCAGGACGAACGCUGGCGGCGCGCCUAACACAUGCAAGUCGAACGAGAGAGAAGGAGCUUGCUUCUUCGAUCGAGUGGCGAACGGGUGAGUAACGCGUGAGGAACCUACCUCAAAGAGGGGGACAACAGUUGGAAACGACUGCUAAUACCGCAUAAGCCCACGGGUCGGCAUCGACCUGAGGGAAAAGGAGCAAUCCGCUUUGAGAUGGCCUCGCGUCCGGUUAGCUAGUUGGUG